AUCUGUUAUGACAGUUUGGAAUCAAAUACAACCUGCAUAUGCUGCCAACUUGUGGAAUGAAGCCUUGAACAAGAGACUUGGAACUGAGGACCUUGAUCUUCCUGAUAUCUUAGUAGAGACUGAAAAGCGUGGAUCAUCCUUCGGUGAACUGUUGACAAUUCCUGAACAGGAUGAUUGGCUAUACACUGAUGGGAGAUCAACUUCAUGCAUUGCUUUCAUUCUGGAAAUGUACAAGGAAGCUGGACUAUUUGAUCCAAUUGCUAGCUCUAUACAAGUGACUGAGUUUACGAUUAAGGACGCUUACACCCUCAGGUUUUUUGAAAACAACUCAAGUCGUCUUCCAAAGUGGUGCAAUGAUGGGGACAAUGUGAAGCUCCCCUAUUGUCAGAUUCGGGGCAAGUAUCGAAUGGAGCUACCAGGAUACAAUACCAUCGAUCCUUAUCCCCAUAUGAACGAACGAUGUCCAUCACUGCCUCCAAAAUAUUAUAGGCCACAGAAUUGCUAAACUACUUUUGACAUGAAAUUAUUAUACCUUGGAUUAUGUCAUUGGACGUUCAGGCAAUCUACUCUUUCUCUUGACACUACAUACUGAAGCUGCCCCGGGACAGAGUUUGGCUGAUGGUUGUAGAUAUGGCAUUGAUACUAUAAAAUUUUAGAGCAUUGGAUGAUAGAUAUUAAAUGUAUAGUGUAGACGGUUGUCGAAACAUGAACNNNNNNNNNNNNAACCUUUUCGGUCACUUCGUUCCCAUGGUUGGAACCUUCCAUGUUAAGCUGAACAAAUUUU
rnacentral:misc_RNA from 1 species